GAUGAACGCUGGCGGCGUGCUUAACACAUGCAAGUCGAACGAUUAAAGCCCCUUCGGGGGCGUAUAGCGUGGCGAACGGGUGAGUAACACGUGAGCAGCCUACCUCUUACACUGGGAUAACUCAGGGAAACUAGAGCUAAUACCUGAUACUCCUAAUCUGUUGCAUGACGGAUUUGGGAAAGGGCAUACGUUAAGAGAUGGGCUCGCGGCCCAUUAGCUUGUUGGUGAGGUAAGGGCUCACCAAGGCGACGACGGGUAGCCGGGUUGAGAGACUGAUCGGCCACAUUGGGAGUGGGACACGGCCCAAACUCCUACGGGAGGCAGCAGUGGGGAAUUUUGCGCAAUGGGCGAAAGCCUGACGCAGCAACGCCGCGUGCGGGAUGACGGCCUUCGGGUUGUAAACCGCUUUCAGUAGGGAAGAUAAUGACGGUACCUACAGAAGAAGCUCCGGCUAACUACGUGCCAGCAGCCGCCGUAAUAC
rnacentral:rRNA from 1 species